rnacentral:lncRNA from 1 species
CUCAUAAUCUCCCCUCCUUAAGUCCUAACGUCGUCGUCAGACUCCAGACUCACAAGUAUAAGGCGAUGUGAGACUCGUCUCGCUAGCCUAAACCAACCUUGUGAUAAGCUGCGUUCCACCGACAACAGUCAACAGCAUGAGAGCCUCGUACUCCCCGCUAUACAAUCCUACCUUAGUUGAGACUCAUCUCACAUUUCGGCUAGUAAUUGACUCUGAUACCAACUGUAACGCCCCAACUUCACAGGCGGUCGCCCAUCCUAGAACUAUUCCCGUUCUAGCACGCUUAACUCUCUUAACCUCUUGAGUCUCGCCACCAUCCGAAAUGCUUAAGCCGGAUUAAGAGUUUAGCCCCAUUAUAUCUUAUAUAUAAGACUAUUUAGGUUCUCACACAAUUGCUAUACAAGAAAUAGCCUCAAAAAAAGAGAAAAUUUAUUUCUUUCUUUAGAGAGAGAGAGAGAGAGAGAGAGCAACUUCUAUUUUAAACGGUGCGACAUUCGCUUAAAAGAAUGCAACUUCUAUUUUAUGUGGUACAAUUUAAUUUCAAAUAGUUUUAAAAGAUACAACUUUCGUUUCAAAGAGUUUUAGAAAUAUUGUUUCUUAUUAGUUUAAACUUUUAGAGACAAAUUGUUGUUUCUUUCAUUAUAAUCUUCUUUUUGAGAUAGAGAGAGAGAAAGAGAGAAAGGUAAUAUAUUGUCUGCUUCGUUUAUAUAUUGUAAAUAAAAUCAGGCACAAAUAUGAAGUAACUAAACUUUGAACUUAAAAUUUUGAAUACCAAUCAUCAAGUUUUGAAUCAACUGCGCUAAGUAUGAUCGGUCAUACAUUGU